rnacentral:lncRNA from 1 species
UGGUUUUUAAAAAUUCUGUGAUAUCAGUUUGACAUUUAUUUCUUUUUCUUUAAUUAGGAAAAAAACCUCCAGUUAACUGCAAGGUUCCAGUCAAUCAAAAACUUAUUAUGGGAAAUCCUUCAUUCUCCAGUUUGGAAAAUACCAACUGCCCAUUGAUCUCAAUCUCAAAGGCUCCGGUGCCCCCAAGGUGAGACUCAAUCUUGAUGCCAGGAUACUCUUCCUUCACAGCACUUGUCAGUUCCAGAUGGGUGGACUCAAAUCCACAGGGUUCACUGUAGAAGCAAAAGUUUACAAGUUUUUUUUUUUUUUUUUAAGGAAAGGCAGGAAGAGAAAAAGAAGGAAGAUAUAGGGAAGGUAGGGAACAUGAAAGGAGAGUUGAAGGGAGAGGAGAUGAU